rnacentral:rRNA from 1 species
AGUGAACGCUGGCGGUAGGCCUAACACAUGCAAGUCGAACGGCAGCACAGUAAGAGCUUGCUCUUACGGGUGGCGAGUGGCGGACGGGUGAGGAAUACAUCGGAAUCUACUUUUUCGUGGGGGAUAACGUAGGGAAACUUACGCUAAUACCGCAUACGACCUACGGGUGAAAGCAGGGGAUCUUCGGACCUUGCGCGAUUGAAUGAGCCGAUGUCGGAUUAGCUAGUUGGCGGGGUAAAGGCCCACCAAGGCGACGAUCCGUAGCUGGUCUGAGAGGAUGAACAGACAAACUGGAAAUGAGACACGGUCCAGACUCCUAAGGGAGGCAGCAGUGGGGAAUAAUGGACAAUGGGCGGAAGCCUGAUCCAGCCAUACCGCGUGGGUGAAGAAGGCCUUCGGGUUGUAAAGCCCUUUUGUUGGGAAAGAAAAGCAGCAGGUUAAUACCCCGCUGUUCUGACGGUACCCAAAGAAUAAGCACCGGCUAACUUCGUG